UACGUAGGGUGCGAGCGUUAAUCGGAAUUACUGGGCGUAAAGCGUGCGCAGGCGGUUCGUUGUGUCGGUGGUGAAAUCCCCGGGCUUAACCUGGGAAUGGCCAUGGAAACUGGCGAACUGGAGUGCGGCAGAGGGGGGUGGAAUUCCGCGUGUAGCAGUGAAAUGCGUAGAGAUCGUAAGGAAGGCCAGUGGCGAAGGCGAGUUCCUGGACAGUUACUGACGCUGAGGCACGAAGGCCAGGGGAGCAAACGGG
rnacentral:rRNA from 1 species